UGUUUCGAACUCGUCACCAUAUAAUCCGUCAACUAGUAAAGCAACUGAUGUACAGAGCAACAUCAGAGCUGUAGUGGAAAGUAAUGGAGCAAACACUCAAGAUGAUGUAAUCACUUUAUUGAAGACCAUUAGAGAACAGAACAAUCAAAUUUUGCAGUGGAUCCGAAAACAAGAUCGCAGUGGCAAUCACGCCAGUAAUACAGAUUUACCAGAUGAUAUAGGCGUACAGUUUCCUUUGAAUUCUCAAGAGGAUAUUACCAAAUUGGAAACAUACCUGAGUGAAAAAAAUAA